UGGUCCGCAGUUCACCAAGGCUCCGCCACGGGAUGUCCCGAUGCUAAACCUGCGA
rfam:Tropicibacter multivorans strain CECT 7557 genome assembly, contig: 0042